CUCAGUGGAUUGAGUGCAGACUGGGAACCAAAGUGUCCCAGGUUCACUUCCCAGUCAGGGAUCAUCCGUGGGUUGCUGGCCACAUCCCCAGUAAAGGGUGGGUGAGAGGCAACCAUACAUUGAUGUUUCUCUCCCUCUCUUUCUCCCU